rnacentral:lncRNA from 1 species
CAAUGGGUCACAAAGUGGGUCGCAGGUGUAGACAAGUCUUUCCUUCAUCUUUGGGGGGUGAUGGAAAGAAGAGAAGUAGGAUUGAAAAAAGUGUUUUAUGACAUGGGAGCCCCAGGUCUGCUGUAGGCCCAGGGGACAGAGCCAGUAGAAAAGGAAGAAUCACACAUGAGCAGCUCUGGGAAGGAAGGCCUUGUAGCACCUCAUCUAUCUGGAACCUAGUGAACCAGCCACCUCCACUAUCCAGAAUACAACCAAACAAGAAAGAAGCAAACAUGGUCUCAACAGCCUAAAUCAGUACUGUUAUAUUUUUUAAUUAAGUUCACAGGUUUCAAGUAAAAGAAAACUCUGAUUCUUUUGCAAAACCGAAUCAGUCUUGGUCUCCUCUAGGUCCAAGAUGGAGAAAUGUUUCUCCUGGGCUCCAGUCUGACGGUAGGAAACCUACCCACAUAUACACGUGAUAAAAAGUUAAAUUCCCAUUUAAUUAACUGAGGAUACGCAAUCCCACAGGACAUUAGGAGGCCACAGAGCAGGAACAGAUGGAGCAUAUUUCCUCUACCCAGGGUCCUUGGGGACAGAGUUGGGAUAGGGACAAGAAGAUAAAACUGACACCGUCUGUUGGGAGUAAGGUUUUUCUACCUGGAAAAGGAAUUCUAGCUAAAAUCCUGUUCUCAUGCUAGGCGUUAAAUCCCCACUCUACACUGACACCACUUGUCAUUCUAUUUAAUGGAAGGUUUACAAAUACAGGUUCUCCUGGUCCUUGAACCAUUCUCAGCAUCAGCAGGACACAUCAGUGUGUAGUCAAUGCCCAGGUAUCCUCACAUAAUAGCUGUGCCUGCAGUUCUUCAAUGCCCCAGAAAGUUCAUUUCCCCUCUGGGCCACAGAUCCUCUAGUACCUCCUACAUCCCUUCCCCACCCAUCUGCAUCCUGCCCUGUGCCCCAAGAGGGGCAUCUCUAGGAACUGCAUCAAGGGGAUCUACCUUACCUUGCAGGUUCCAGUUGUAGUUAGCCAAUAAGAAGCACUGGAAGGACACUGGGCUAUAGGAGGUAAGUGAGGUCUGGGUUUAUUCUCACGCCUCCCUCCCAGCAGGGUCUUUGUAAGUUAGCUGCAGCCUCCCACCCAGCAGUUAGAUCGAGACCCUGGUAGCUGCUCCCCCUGUUUGUUCCUCGAACCUAGAGGUUAUAAUGGCUCCCACUGUUGUAACUCAGGGUUAGCAACACAGGGUGUGGCCAGGUACAGCUUACUUAAACCCUAUUUAACCUCUGUAAAUAGAGUAUUAAACUCUCUUCAAAUCACCUAGUUCGAGGUGCCAUUUAUUUCUUGCAGGACCUGACUGCUACCACCAUCCCAUGGCAGAUAGGUUUCAGCUCCCAGGCUGAUUCUGUCGAUUGGAAGGAGCUACUUGGAGCAUUUUUUGUGAAAUAUCCUAAGACCUCAUCCAGGGGUUUGGUGAUUGGUGGGUUGUGAUUGACUGGGUGCGUGAUGGAGAAGAGUCAUUCUCACACCAAGUGCUGGCAAUCCCUCUUCUAGUUUUUAACCAUCAUCCCAUGCCCAGAUUCUUGGAAGAUUUAAAACCAAGCAGAGGGAGAUUUGUUACAAGUGGGCAGUCUGACAACAGGACAGAAUUGUGGUUGACAGACUAGCAGAGAGGAGCCUGAAAGGAAAGCUUAAAAAGAAAGUGAACACACAAGAAAACAGAAGCCACACCGUGCUGGGAGGGAUUUCCCAUUGUGGCACAGUGGAAACAAAUCCAACUGGGAACCAUGAGAUUGUGGGUUCGAUCCCUGCCCUCGCUCAGUGGGUUAAGGAUCCAGCAUUGUCGUAAGCUGUGAUGUAGGUGGUAGACACGACUCGGAUCCUGAGUUGCUGUGGCUAUGGUGUAGGCUGGCAGCUGUAGCUCCGAUUUGACCCCUAGCCUAGGAAUCUCCAUAUGCUGUGGGUUCAGCC